AGCUAGUGUGAAAGUAGUGAGUUAUCGAAAUUGAUUUUUCAUAAUCAGUUAUUGAUUGAGCUCCUUGUUCUACCCUUUCCCCUCCUGUCACUACUGCACUUCACUAGUGUAAA
ensembl:Y_RNA Y_RNA Y RNA